AGCACGGGAGCAAUCCUGGUGGCGAGUGGCGAACGGGUGAGUAAUGUAUCGGAACGUACCUUUCAGUGGGGGAUAACGUAGCGAAAGUUACGCUAAUACCGCAUAUUCUGUGAGCAGGAAAGCAGGGGAUCGCAAGACCUUGCGCUGAUUGAGCGGCCGAUAUCAGAUUAGCUAGUUGGUGAGGUAAAGGCUCACCAAGGCGACGAUCUGUAGCGGGUCUGAGAGGAUGAUCCGCCACACUGGAACUGAGACACGGUCCAGACUCCUACGGGAGGCGGCAGUGGGGAAUUUUGGACAAUGGGGGCAACCCUGAUCCAGCCAUGCCGUGUGAGUGAAGAAGGCCUUCGGGUUGUAAAGCUCUUUCAGCCGGGAAGAAAACGCAUGGGUUAAUACCCUGUGUGGAUGACGGUACCGGAAUAAGAAGCACCGGCUAACUACGUGCCAGCAGCCGCGGUAAUACGUAGGGUGCGAGCGUUAAUCGGAAUUACUGGGCGUAAAGCGUGCGCAGGCGGUUUGUUAAGAUAGGCGUGAAAUCCCCGGGCUCAACCUGGGAACUGCGUUUAUGACUGGCAGGCUAGAGUAUGGCAGAGGGGGGUGGAAUUCCACGUGUAGCAGUGAAAUGCGUAGAGAUGUGGAGGAACACCGAUGGCGAAGGCAGCCCCCUGGGCCAAUACUGACGCUCAUGCACGAAAGCGUGGGUAGCAAACAGGAUUAGAUACCCUGGUAGUCCACGCCCUAAACGAUGUCAACUAGGUGUUGGGUGGGUAAAACCAUUUAGUACCGGAGCUAACGCGUGAAGUUG
rnacentral:rRNA from 1 species